rnacentral:rRNA from 1 species
UACGUAGGGGGCUAGCGUUGUUCGGAUUUACUGGGCGUAAAGCGCACGUAGGCGGCUUUGUAAGUUAGAGGUGAAAGCCCGGGGCUCAACUCCGGAAUUGCCUUUAAGACUGCAUCGCUAGAACGUCGGAGAGGUAAGUGGAAUUCCGAGUGUAGAGGUGAAAUUCGUAGAUAUUCGGAAGAACACCAGUGGCGAAGGCGACGUACUGGACGACUGUUGACGCUGAGGUGCGAAAGCGUGGGGAGCAAACAGG